rnacentral:rRNA from 1 species
GAUGAACGCUAGCGGCAGGCCUAACACAUGCAAGUCGAGCGCUCUCUUCGGAGGGAGCGGCGGACGGGUUAGUAACGCGUGGGAACGUACCCAGAUCUAAGGGAUAGCCACUGGAAACGGUGAGUAAUACCUUAUACGCCCUUCGGGGGAAAGAUUUAUCGGAUUUGGAUCGGCCCGCGUUAGAUUAGAUAGUUGGUGGGGUAAUGGCCUACCAAGUCUACGAUCUAUAGCUGGUUUUAGAGAAUGAUCAGCAACACUGGGACUGAGACACGGCCCAG